AUUGAACGCUGGCGGCAGGCCUAACACAUGCAAGUCGAGCGGAGCGGCGGACGGGUGAGUAAUGCCUAGGAAUCUGCCUGGUAGUGGGGGAUAACGUCCGGCAACGGGCGCUAAUACCGCAUACUAUCAGAUGAGCCUAGGUCGGAUUAGCUAGUUGGUGGGGUAAAGGCCUACCAAGGCGACGAUCCGUAACUGGUCUGAGAGGAUGAUCAGUCACACUGGAACUGAGACACGGUCCAGACUCCGACGGGAGGCAGCAGUGGGGAAUAUUGGACAAUGGGCGCAAGCCGGAUGCAGCCAUGCCGCGUGUAUGAAGAAGGUCUUCGGAUUGUAAAGUACUUUAAGUUGGGAGGCGUUACCAACAGAAUAAGCACCGGCUAACUCCGUGCCAGCAGCCGCGGUAAUAC
rnacentral:rRNA from 1 species